rnacentral:lncRNA from 1 species
AUAAAUCAUAGAUCGAACCGCCAAUUUGGAAAAAUUGGGUGUUAUCAUAAAGCUUUGUAUCGCCUAAAUUCUUGUAGCCUUGCUAGCCACUUCAUUGUAUUUUAGUGACGUGCAAUGGCACUCCAGAAGCAUUGUGUUUGCAGUAUGCACCGUGCAAACAAGACCACUUAGUGAACUGGUGACAACAUGAAAUUACACCAUUAGGGAAACAAUGAAAAGAGACAUCAACGAAUAAUGGUAACAACAAUGAACAGUAGAGAUUCAAACACCUACAUACAAGAGAGGAUAACUAGCCUAAGCUUGAUGAAUCAUGCUCGAGUAACCUAAAAUGUUAAAAAGUAUCGAGAAACUCAGUAACCCAGGAUUUGAUUUCUUUGAAACACCAGGAUUUUUUAUUACUAGCUUUACUACUUUAGCUCCAAUAGGAGAGGGGCUUAUACUCAGAAAAGCCCCAGACCCAGAGUAUCAUUAAAGAGAUAUGUUUUUCCUAAUGCUAAGUAAAUCUUCCUACAGAAGAAGAGCACAAUCUUCCUCUCUGAAUAUUUUUUCGAACACACAUAUGGAGAAUUUGAUAUUUUCUCUGCAUAUUCAUCAAAGACUAAACUUUCCGAGAUGAAUGUCCUCACUUCAUACCUAGUAAAUUUUCUCUCUUUUUAAUACCGUCGAGUAAGCAUUUGCACAUCUUUUACAUUCACAUGAUACUCAUACAGCGAUGAGAGAGUUCACGCGAAAAUGGAGUAAUAAAGAAACAGAUCUUAAGAAAUUGUUUAAAAAGACAACUCAAUGUGGCUGGUGCAAAAUUAGAAAACCAGAAGUACCGGAUGUGCGCAAGGAAAAGGAAAAGGCAAAAGCUAAUUAUAUUUAUAGCUUCCUCCAGUUUUUCAUUUAAUUGUUCCUUUACUUGAUUCAAAAGUUACACUUACAAUUUCUCAUUGUUUUUCUUUGUCUAACUAGUAAUAUGAGUUGAACUUAUAAAUCAAUCCCUUAAAUUUACUUACCUUUUAGAAAGAGGGUGGUAAAAUCGAUGGACAGUACGUUUAGGAGACCACUUUUUAAAGAGAGGGUGAUAAGGACAUCGAUACAAAAAAAGUUAGGAGUAUUAAUUUCUCAGUCAAUGUUUUGAAAGUUAUACGAGAACGACUUUCAACAAUAACAAACCAACAACAAUAACAACUAUUCAAUCCUAAUCUAGUAAGAAUCAGCUAUACUGGAGUAACCUCAAUUAUCAACCUUUUGUUCUUCUUUUUUUUCUUUUUUUUUUUUUGAGGAAAUGAUUGUGAUUCAACAAACUCUUACUUUUCUUUAUCUUACUAAGGAGUGAGAGCAGACAUACCCAGCAUCCGAAUGUGGUAUGAAUUGAGCUAUUACAUUCUGAAAAGCUAACAAUGUGUGCAGUACUCAAACAUUAAUUGGAGAUAUCCCCACCCUAGAAAUACAAUUAAUUUGCAGCACAGCAUAGAGCUCAAUUUCGAUACAGCAUAAGAGCAGCAAAAUAGAAAUCCAAACACCCAUACAAAAUAGCCAACAUAAAUACAUGCGCUUUGCCUUUGAGUAACCUAAAAAUGCUGAAAGUCUAACGAAACUCAAGAAUAAACAAAACUGAAAAUUCCACGAAAUGAGGAAAGUCUCACUAAACUCGAGAAUAAAUAAACUGUAAAUUCCAAGAAAUGAGGAGAAAUCCCAAACUCGAUUUCUGUUAUGUUUUGUAUUGAUCCCGGUUCAGAGGCAUCACCAAAUCAUCCUAAGACUAGAUAAAACUUUCACAAAAACCUUUCUGAGGCAAACAUUUUGUCGAACAGCUAACGUGGAUGUAUCAAUCAGGAUCCAAAUCCUCAAAGAUUAAAACUUUAAGCUAAGAUGUUUAUUCUAGAUUCAGACCCAUAAAAAUCUUCUUUUUUUAUCAGACCAAUUGGAUAUCGUUGUUCGCUCUCAGCCUAAGCCUGUGCAUACACAUAUAUUUAAGCUACAGCCAUGAGAAAGCUUCGCAAGAAGAAGGAGAAAUGAAGAAAUAUUUCUUACAAAAUUGAUAAUUGUUACAGAUAGAGGACUCCAACAGUCGACAGGUGCGGUGUACAAGCCAAAGAAAAGCAGAGCCUUGGGCACAAGCGGGCCAACUGUUAUACUACUAGUAAUUUUUACAAUUUCAGUUUAGA